rnacentral:lncRNA from 1 species
CUCCUAUUUCUCAUUUUUUUUUUUGGGCCAUUACUUUAAUUGGGCUCGAUUUCAAAUUAGGCCUAGUUCUAGGUCAUAACAUGUUGAAAAAUGUAUCUCAAAGUCAAUUAUCAAUCUGUUGACGGUUGUGCUAUUUGAUGUAAUUGUAUAUGAAUUAAUUAAUAAAAUAUUUAUUUGAUAAUUUUUAUCAUAAGCUUGUA